rnacentral:tRNA from 1 species
GGAGAAAUGGCUCAGUGGUUAAGAGCACUGGCUGCUCUUUCAGAAGACCUGGGUUCAAUUCUCGGUACCUACA